AGCUUUUGACAAUUGAGUAAAGUAUAAUCCAAUUAAGAGCAUAUUUCUUUCUCUCUACCCAAUUCCUCCAAAAUUUAUGAGUAUUCAUUUGUAAACCAAAAAGUAUCUGAGGCAAGUCUCAAUCAACUUAGAAGUUCAUUUUGCCAAGGUUAAGGACAUGCCCAUGUACGGCCUUUGGUGCUCAAGGUGGUCAGGCUACAACUUGGUUUUAUGCAUUUUAGGGAAACGUAAGACAUCAAUCAAUACAAGUAAGAUGUACAUUGGUUUGCUUCAGAAGGGCAGGACAACCAGAAGCAGGAGUUUCCAGGUAAUAGGCAGAUUUAAAUAUUUCCGAAUUGGCAGUUGGUUGAGUUACUGUCUAAAGACCUGGAAUCAAUAGAAAGGAAUGUCUGAGUUACAAUAAGGGGUUGUGGAGACAAAGGUUUUAUCAUGUGGACGAAACCUCCAGGUAGCAUGCUUCAGAGAGAAUAGAUUGUAAAUGUUUCCUAUUAGACUUAAUUAGUCUCUUCUACGAGUCUUAAGGUCUAUGUUGAUAUUAAUGAUAAUGAGGCAAGUCUGACUCCCACUUCCCAUCAUGGCGUGAACUAGUUUUUCAGGUUAACAUUGGAAUGCCCUUGGCUGAGAGGAGGGGUCAGUUCAGAUGGUUGAGGGACUUAUCAUUUUAUUUUUGGUUUACACUUAACUUAUCAAGUGCAAUAAGAAUCUGUUUUCUUUUAUAAGAGGACACAAUUGGAGACACUGGUUAGUUUACCAAGGCUUUGACUAGAAGGCCAUGCCUUCAAAUAUGAACAGACUGCUAUAAGGAUUCAAAGUUGACUUAUAGGGCCAAUAAAAGACUCUGGGGAAAAACUGGCCUCAUAUCUUGUCUAUACAGUCCCUGUACAGGGUUCCUGACCUGUGGUAAGUAAAGAAUGUCACUUUCUUACUGGCCCAGGAGCCCCAAGUUAUCUUGGGACCUCAAGAAGAGAGAAAUUGACCUAACCCAUACGGGUAUUUUCAAGCACAAAUCCAUGGCUAGACUCAAGGUUUUGAAAGGUCUAUCUGAGAUUUUGUAUGAAACAAAGUUUCAUCAAAGGCAAUUUAAAAAGGAGCCUAUAUGGCAAAUAAUUAUUCUUGUUGCACUUUAUGAAAAUAAUCAGGUCAAGUAUAAUAUGACUAAAGGUUAUUUUGCAAACAAAUCAGUCCUACCUUGAUUUGUUUUUAAUAAAAAUGAUGACUGGAAAGAGAUAAAUUAUGUUUCAAAAACUGUGGUACACCUGUUGUUAAAUUCUAGUCUUGUCCAUUGUUUUUGUGUAUUUUUCUGAAAUGUAGACUGACCCUGCUUAUUCCUUUGAUCUCUGCCAGCUGCGUAGAAGAAACGAGGGAUGGGUAAUGUAAAAAUCUGUAUCAGUAUUCUAACUCUGAGCAUAUAUUGAAAUUGGCUAGCAACCCCAUAUCAGCUUGGUGCCCAAUUCAUGGAAAGCCUUCUCAUUUAGUUUACUUGGGAUACUUAUUUUAUUUACUGUUGUUGAGUAUAUUGCUGUCGUACUCUUUAAGUAAGAAUGCAAGAUAAGCUUACUCAACAUUUUCUAUAAUUGAACACUUAUUGUCUUCCAGAUAUUUCCUUUUGUCAGGACCCAGAGUUAUGAAUGGCCAUCACUAUACUGAUGCUUCCUGACUGAGCUCCUUUCUACCCUAAAUACAAGAGAACCUAAGAGUUAGGCAGGAAUAUUAUCACCUCUACACAGCCCAAAGAAGCUAUAGAAAAAUGAAUUUUUGUCCUUCUGCAACUCUUAGGAUUAAGUAUCCCCUUGGAAAAGGGAGGGGAGAAUAUGUCAGUGGUGUUUAAUCCAGAGCAACCCCUUCUUGAAUAGGGGAUGGGUAAAAUACGGCUGAGACCUGCUGGACUGCCUUUCUAUGAGGUUAGGCAUUCUUAGUCAAAGGAUAUUUGUGGUUAAGGGAACAGAUUAAUAAUGUUUACUGAACAGACCCAGGACUUAACAGACCCAGGAAAUGUCCUGAUGUUACAAUAUCUUAAGAACAAAAGCAUUCUUAGUUUAAGAAUAAGUUUUGCUUUAAAAUAAUAAUAUACAUUCUUGUGGAAGACAGUAGUUACACAAAGAUUAACCAUUCUUUGUCACAAGCCCUUGUAGUAGAGUAUAUCUCAUCAUUUUUUGUUUUAUUAUCUUGUAAACAAGCAUUGUACCUAAAGUGGACAUGUUCUUCCUCUUGCUUUCAGGACUGCCCCGCUCUAUCUAUGGAGUAGCUAUACUUCUAUUCCUUUACUUUCUUAAUAAACUUGCUUAUACUUUACUCUGUGGACUCACCCUGAAUUCUUUCUUGCGUGAGAGCCAAGAACCUUCUUUCGGGGUCUGGAUCAGGACCCCUUUCUGGAAACAAAAUGAGUAGUACUUUUUUUUUUUUUACAGCUUUAUUGAAGUAUAAUUGAUAUAAAAUAAAAAACUGUGCAUGUUUAGUAUGUACAAUUUGGUGAGUCUGACAUUUGCAUGUGCAUGUGGUUUUGGAGAGGGAUGAAAAUGGGUGGUAGGGCAAAGGUUUCUAUUCACCCAGCUCACUUUAUUUAUUUUUCUUACCCUCCUAGAUACUGUAGAUAUUUCAGUUUGUGGUCCCUGCUGUUGAGCAAUCUGAGCUCUGUGAGAUAUGCAGAUAAUGUCUCCAGAGAGCCAUUAGCAUGGGUCUUCAGCCAUGCCUCCCCAUCCAUGCCACGAGGGAAUUGUUUAAAGUCAUUUUGUUCCUGAUUAGCUGCCUCACUCAUUAUCUUCCUGUUCCUGGAAUUUGUGGCACAAAGAACAAUGUAUAGCCAAUCAGUAGCUAAUACUAUUUUAAUGUAAAUUCUUAAUAAACAACUUAGGAACUGCCUCUUCUUUUUCUUUAAAAACCUACUUUUUAUCUGUUGCUACUCUGAGUGUAUAUUCAGGGCAACUUGAAUCUAUGUUGCUAGUUGCAAUCCUCAAGCUUGUCCAAAAUAAACUCUCUAUAUUAGUUUGGUCUCAGCUUCUUCCUCUUAGAUGGACACUGUACACCCAAGUCAAAUCCAUUUUCCUCAAAGUCCCUUGGAACCCUACUUGGGUUACCAUCCUAGCUGUAGCUCUGACCCAGCAAUUCCCUUAAAUUAACCUUGGCACUGGCACAGUGCUCAGGACCUUUUCCAUAAGGGGCUUGCUCCUCUGACUCACCCCUCCUCAUCAAUUCUUUUCUCCAGGGAAAUCUUCCUAAGAACUGGCUGCAUUAUAGAACCAGACUGGAAUCCACUCAUCUGGCACAGUAAAACCAGAUAUCUACACCAAGGUUUUUGCAGCAGUAGAAAGGCAUUUAUUUGCAGGGUGCCAAGCAAGGAGGACCAGGAAGCUAAAUGCUCAAAUCCUGACCUCCUUGAUGACUUGCAAGCAAGAGUUUUUAAAGGUAGGAGUAAAUCUCAGGAUAUCAGAAGCUACAUGCAAAAUUAUACAUCAAUACAAGAAGGUUUUAGCUUUAUAAGGGUAGAAUAUCUUGGAGUGGGGGCCUGGAGGGUGACUUAUAGGUCAUAGGUAGAUUCAAAGAUUUUCUGAUUUGUAAUUGGUUAAGGAAGUGAAGCUUUGUUUAAAAAUCUGGAGUCAGGGCCGGGCACAGUGGCUCACACCUGUAAUCCCAGCAAUUUGGGAGGCUGAGGCAGGCAGAUCAUGAGGUCAUAAAAUCGAGACCAUCCUGGCCAACAUGGUGAAACCCCAUCUCUACUAAAAUACAUUAAAAAAUUUAGCUGGGUGUGAUGGCGCACACCUGUAGUCCCAGCUACUUGGGAGGCUGAGGCAGGGGAAUAGCUUGAAACUGGGAGGCCGAGGUUGCAGUGAGUGAUAUCAUGCCACUGCACUACAGCCUGGCAACAGAGCGAGACUCUGUCUCAAAAAAAAAAAGAAAAUUGGAGUCAGUAGGAAAAAGUGUUAAUUUUCUGGGAGAGGGGGGUGACUUUCCCAAAGCCCCUUGAGAAGAAAUUUAGAACAAAAAAUUAUGGUCAAAGUUCAGUCUUCAAUUCUCCCUUAUCUGAAGUCUGCGUGCCAGAGGAUCCAUUCAGUGGGGGUCCUCAGUGGGUAUCUGACUUUCUAAAAGACAACUCAGACACAAAUGUUAAGAUGUUAUCCUUAGUUUCUAUAGGGAAAGGGAACAUCUCAGGAACUCUAACUUUCUUGGCUAUUGUUUUAAGCUACUAUGACCUUCUUGUUUAACAAGUUAUGUAUUUACUUCUGAGGCUAGCUGCAUGCCUGGAAUUUCUCUCGAAGGAACUCAGAAUAUUCCUUUAUUUCCAUGCUUGGAAGUCUGCAGGCUCCUAAAAGGGGACCCCUGCUCCACCUCAGCUUCUCUUUGCAAUAAGUCCCUUUCUUUUUACCUGCCCCGUAGCUUUUCAGCCUAUGCCAGCUGGUGCUGUUCAUUCUGUUGCUCCACGCCCCUGAAUGACGUCUUCUUCUUUGCAUUUCCAAAGUCUGCCUGGUCACCUGUAGUUUAUUUUACUAAAGAACUGGUACUUGUUGGUCUUGGUUGGGGGCCCUUACUAGAAGAAAGCAUUCAACUACUUAUUUGAUGCCUGAGGAAUCUUUCUGACUAUGUAACUACAUAAAAUAUGUACUCUAGAGCCAGCCUCUCCUGGGUACUGGCAUAGUAGGAGUACCCAACUUUACACCUUGAGAUCAAACUCUGGGGAGGCAAGUGCUCUGGAGAGCAACAUAUGGAAAUAGAAAUAAUUUAUUCCAUCAAUGCUUUCUACCCUCUCUGCCAGGCAGUCUAUUCCUGUUCUUGAGGUUAGAGAGUGGCAUCCCAUGGGACAGGCCUCAUUUCUUAUGGCUAAGAGCAAGAACAUGGAGCCUGGAUUAGAACUCUCAUUGAAUGGAGAAUUAACCACGUACUAGUGUGUAACCUUGAGCCAUCAUACCUUUCUUUGUCUCUACAUCUUCAUCUGAAAAACGGGGCAAUUCACCUGAAAAAUGGAGUAAUCAUAGUGCCUGUAUUAGUCUAUUCUCGCAUUGCUAUAAAGACUAGGUAAUUUAGAAAGAAAAGAAGUUUAAUCAGCCCACAAUUCUGCAGCCUGUACAGGCUUCUGCUUCUGGGAAGGCCUCAGGAAACUUAUAAUCAUGGCAGAGGGUGAAAGGGAGGCAGGCAUAGUCUUCACAUGGACAGAGCAGGGGGAAGAGAGAGAAAAUGUGGAGAUGCUACACACUUUCAAACAACCAGAUCUCGUGAGAACUCAAUCAUGAGAACAGCAUGGGAGAAGUCCACCUCCAUGAUUCAGUCACCUCACACUAGGACCCUCCUCCAACACUGGGAAUUACAAUUUGACAUCAGAUUUGGGUGUGGACACAGAGCCAAACCAUAUCAGUGCCUUUUUCAUAGAUAUGUCAGGAUUAAAUAUAAAGCUCUUAGCACAGAGGCUGACACAUAUUAAGUAUCAAAAAGUGUGAAAAAUAGCACUUGUUUUUUCCCCAAGAGCCUCUAAGCCUAUCACUGAAAAAUUAUAUUCUAUCUCAGGAGUCUGUGAAAAACAAAAUAUCGUUCUCAAAAAAUUGCUUGUGAAGAAGACUCUCCACUUAAAACUGUGGCCCUAUGCUGUCCUGCUUUCCACUAACAACCUGAGUACAUACUUCCAGCUAUAUCUAGCCAAAAAUCAAUUAGAACUAGUGCUAGAGCUCCAUUAAACCUACAAUAUGCAAUUCCAAUCUAAAGGCCACUGCUUUGUUUUACUUCCACAUGUAAGGUACAGAUAUUCUUAAGAACCUUCUUUCAAUGAAAGAAUAAGAUUUCAGUGACCAUGACAUUUUCAUUCCUUUAAAAAAAAGCUUGGCACAACAAAUAAGAAUAUUUUAUUGAACCUAAUGAUAAUUUUUCUGAAUUUGUAUUUAUUUAUUUGCAAUUACACAUGUAAUACUUCUUUUUUUUCCCUUUUUUAGAGACAGGGGCUUGCUAUGUUACUCAGGUUGGUCUUGAACUCCUGACCUCAAGCAAUCCUCCUGCCUUGGCCUCCCAAAGUGCUGGCAGUAGAGGCAUGAGCAACCAUGCCCAGCCCACAUAUAAUACUUUAAUACAUUCUGCUAAAACAAUUCAAACAAUGUAAAUAAAAUGAAAAUGGUGUUAACCAAAAAAGUGACUGAGGAAGAAGUCUCAAUCAAUAGAGGUUUAUUGACCCCAAAGUUUGAGGAUGUGCCCAGGAAAAACACAGUCACAGAGGCAUCUGUGACCUAUGCUUUCCAAAGAGGGUUUUGGGAACUCAGUAUUUAAAGGAGAAAGAGAAAGAAGGAAGAAAAUGUUGGGGGUAAACAGUGAGGCAGAUGGUUACAUUCCUGGAGGCUCUAAUUACUGCUCUAUAAGUCUACAUCUUACACAAGGCAAGGUAAACAUGUGAAAAGAGGAGAGGAAAAAGUCAAUUAUCUCAUCUCAGGGCAAGAGAGGAAUACUUUCUUGUCUUGUCCUUGUGCUGUAUCUGUGAAGAUAAGCCUGUAAUCGACAUUGUCAGUGAGAAAUUUAACACAACUUGGCUGGGCACGGUGGCUUCAAGCUACUCUUUCUCAAGUGGAGCUAAUAGUUACCUCAAAUGGCUAAUCUUUCUCAAGUGAAGCUUGAGAAAGUAUUUGCUUUCCAAAUUACAUACUUCACCUAGUCUGUUUUGCUUACAUUAAAUUUAGUAGCUAACCUCUUUGUGUUCACUCACAAAAUACUUUGAACUUCACGUGACAUAUGACUAUCAUAUCUUCAGUCUACUGGAGAGUCUAAAUUUGCAUCUGAAAAAGUAGCAAAAUAGCUCUAAGCAAACAUUUCUUCCUUAAAACUCAAGAUUCCGUUUUAUUUUGUUUUUGUUACAUCUCACCUUCUAGACAGCAAUUUUAUGCCUCACAGUCUUGAUUUCAUCAAGACAUAUUGUUGGAGAUGGAGUGGAAAGUACUCCUAUUUGUUACUCAUUCUUCUAGUCUUGAACUAGUUUUUCUUACUUCUGACUCUUUAUAGGCAGAUAUCAUGUGUACAAUAUAGUAAUGAAAAUAGAAAUCUGGAUUUCAACCUGCUUUGUCUCUUUGACUCCCUCUUUUCUAGGAACUGAUCCUUUUCUCCACUUGUCCUCUUUCCUGUGUCUUACUCUACAAUGGACUGAGUGUUCAUGUCCCCCAACCCUUUAAAUUCAUAUGUUGAAAUCCUAACCCCUAAUGUGAUGGUGUUAGGAGGUGGGCCCUUUGAAAGGUAAUAAGGUCAUGAGAGUCGAGUCCUCAUAAGUGAGAUUAGUGCCCUUAUAAAAAAAAAACCCAGAGAGCUCUCUUACCCUCUUUCCACCAUGAAGUAACCAGUCUACAAACUGGAAGAGGACCCUCACCAGGAUCUGACCAUGGUGGCACCCUGAUAUCAAACUUCCAGCCUCCACAACUGUGAAAAUAAAUUUUUGUUGUUUAUAAUCCACUCAGUCUAUGGUGCUUUGUUAUGGUAGCCCAAACUAAGGUAUUCCCUUAUGCUUGACCUCAUGACAUGACUUUAUCACAGUGGAAAUACCCCUGAUUUAACCAGUUUACCCUACUUCUUGGCCACAGUGAUACGCUCAGGGAACCUGAAUCAAAGGCAGGACAACUAGCAUCCCUCUGCAGACAGUUGGAAUUUAGACCAAGAAAUUCUAGGCUUAUUCUUUCUGGUUUUGAAACAGAGGAGAUAGAAACUCAGAAGAUACAGUAAAUAUUUUCCAGCUUGUGAAAAGUAGGCCAACACUACUUUUGGGUUGACAGGAGAAAAAAGUCAAUUCAGAGAGAGGAACAGAAUUGAAAGCUGGGGCAGAAAGACUUCCUUGCCUAGCUGUACCCUGCUCUUGGACCAUUUGAAUCACCUCUGUUUCCUUAUGAUUACUUAUCUUUUUUGUUUGUUUGCUUGUUUUAGCUAGUUAGAGAUAGUUUCUAUUACUCAUAACACCAUAAAAAUGUUAACUAAUAUGAUAUUUUCAGCAAUAAAUUUUGGGGUGAAUUUCUCCUUCUUUAAUUGUUUUGUUAGGCAUUUGUUAUAAUGGUCAAGAAAGGAAUUUCCUCAGGGAAUUUUUCUUCUGUUUUUUUUUUCACCCCAUGUAUAAAUUUUAAGUACAUGUCUCUUUAUUUCUCACUAGAGUCAGUAUUAUGUAUCUUUUUGUAAAUGAAAUACAAGGGAUUUGCAGCAAAAUAUGAAAAGCCUGGAAUGAUCUAGUAUAGUAUCUAAAUAAAAGUUUCUUUCAAGACAAAACUCCUCAAAGAGGACAAACUUGUGGGGAUAGAAUUCAAAUUUAAGAGGGCACAGAUCAUAAAGCCAAUGAAAAAGAAUACCUAGAUUAAAUGUGGGGUGGAGGUAGGAAGGGACAGUCAGAAUAUUUCAGAAUGUAAGCUACCAUAAUCUUGAAAGCUUUGAAAAACAUCCAAAAAAGAGAGCUCUAAAAUGAUAAGGUUUGAAUAGAAAGUUAUCCAAGUUUGGGUAGAAAGUUAUCCAAGUUUGGGUAGAAAGUUAAAUGAUAAAAUAUUAUCCAAAACUACAUCUCCUUUCUAAAAGCUCAGGAAAACUGUGACAUAAACAUUGAGCUACAGAAAAGAUAGAGAUCAAAUUCCAUUAAAGUAUAAGGAAAGAGAGAAUAAUAUUCCUACAGAUAAUAAAACAUGCCAAAAACAUUCUCAUACAGCAGAUGAAAACUAUAGUCUAAUAUUUCAAAACUAGCUAGGAGACACAAAAAAUGAGAUAAGAAAUAAAAGAACAAAUCAGAAUUUGAGAUGAUAGAACUAAGAAGAUAAUUUUAAAAAUUAUUAAGAAACAGAACAAAUAAAAGUAAAACUAGAAAAAAUACAAGAUAAUAUCUCAAGAGAAAUAUAAGUAAAAAAAAUUUUAAGAAUUUAAAAGAAAAAAGAGAGAGAUAAAAAGGAUUAAAGAAAAGACACACAAGGAAGAUCCCACAUACAUACAAUAGGCAUAUCUAGGGAAAAUUUUAGCAAUAAAAUACUGAAAUCUAUCAUUUGAGAAGCCAAAAUAAAAUGAGAAUUGAAACUAAAUAUUGAGAGGACACUCAGUUUAUCUGAUAAAAUUGGCUUGGAAUGAUCAUCACUGAGAUUUAGUCUAGCGAAAUUAUUGUACUUUAAAGGAAAUAAAAUAAAAAUUAUUUAGAAAAUCCAGGGAAAAAAUAUGAAAUUAUUCAUACAGGAAAGAAAGUCAUAUUAUCUUCAAACUUCAAUCUCAAAAUUUUAUGCUUGAAGAAAAUUCAGUAACAUAGUGCAAAGAAAGAAAAUAUGAAGCAAUGAUUUUAUAUCUAUAUAAGCUGUUAGGCAAGAACUGAGGGAAUAUUAUUCUUUAUGAAUCUACUGGAGAAGGGGAUUCAAACAAUCAAAAUACAUGGGGAGGCAUUGACAAAAUGAUUCAUGGUGAGCAUUGAUAAUAAUUUCUAGCAAAACUAAGACACUAAAUGAGAGAUAUAAAGAAGAUAAUGUGGUACAUAAUGGCUGAAUACUCUGACAGUGUGGAUACGGUACAAUUGUAAAUAUGUGGGGUGAGAAUGGAAAGAGCAUAUGCAAAAGAAUUUUUAACUCUUUUCAGUAAUUGUAUUGAUGAUAAUGUUAUUUCAGGGUGUGUCUUUGAGGAGGGUUUUGUAAGAGAGUAGUAUUUGAAUCAGUAGAAUGAGUAAAACAGAUCUGCCCUCACCAAUGUGGGCUAGCAUUAUCCAAUUAGGCAUAGGAAGAGUGAAUUUGCUCUCUAUUCUUGAGCUAGGAUAUUUACCUUCUCUUGCCCUCAGACAGUGGAGCUCCUGGCACUGGGGUCUUUGGACUCCAGGAGUUACAUCAGCACCUCCUGACCCCCGAGUCUUUGGGCCUUUGGCCUUGGACUGAGAGUAUGCCAUUGACGCCCCUGCUUCUUAUGUCUUCAGAUGCGGACUGAAUUACACCGCUGGCUUUCCUUGUUCUCCAGCUUGCAGGCAGCAUACUGUGGGACUUCUGGGCCUCCAUAAUUGUGAGGAAGUCAAGAAGGAGAUGUGACCUAUGUGAGACCAUGCUCUGGAGAAGAGAGACCGCAUCAACAGCCAGACAUCUUUACAUGUAAAUGAUUCAUCAGAAGCAAAAAUUUGGAGUCAGAGAAGACAAGGAGAAAUGUAGUCAUCUCCCCACCCCAACACACUUAGGGCUUAACUUGGAGUGGUUGGGGGCAUGCGAAUCAACUGACUAAGAUAAAAGACAAGGAUGAACGGAUGGAUGUGUGAAAGGAAAAUAAAUCUUGGAGCCCCCAAAUCACUAAGCUAAAGGGAAAAGUCAAGCUGGGAACUGCUUAGGGCCAACCUGCCUCCCAUUCUACUCAAAGUCACCCCUCUGCUCACUGACACAGAUGCAUAUCUGAUUGCCUCCUUCGGAAAGGCGAAUCAGAAACUCAAAAGAAUGCAACCAUUUGUGCCUCACCUAUUUGUGACCUGUAAGCCUCCUCUCUGCUUCAAGUCUUCCUAGCUUUGCUUCAAGUUGUCCCGCCUUUCCAGACCGAAACAGUGUACUUCUUACAUAUGUUGUUUGAUGUCUCGUGUCUCCUUAAAAUGUAUAAAACUAAGCUGUGACUGAGCACCUUGGGCACAUGUUGUCAGGACUUCCUGAGGCUGUGUCACGGGCACAUCCUCAACUUUGGCAAAAUAAACUUUCUAAAUUAACUGAGAUCUGUCUCAGAAUUUCUGGGUUCAUAGAUUGACAGGGAAUUUUUUUUUUUUUUUUUUUUUUUUUGAGACAGGGUCUGGCUUUGUCACCCAGGCCAGAGUGCAGUGGUGCAAACUCAGCUCACUGCAACCCCUGUCUCCUUGGCUCAAGUCAUCCUCAGACCUCAGCCUCCUGAGUAGCUGGGACAGCAGACAUGUGCCACCACUCCCAGCUAAUUUUUUUUUGUAUUUUUUGUAGAGAUGGGGCUUCACCAUGUCACCCAGGCUGGUCUCCAACUCCUGAGCUCAAGCGAUCCGCCCACCUUGGCCUCUCAAAGUGCUGGGAUUACAGGUGUGAGUCACUGUGCCCGGCCAGCAUUUCAUUGUCUUUUAUGACAUUGCCAUUUUUGAAAAAACAAUCCCUUUUUUAAAAAAAAAACUAGAAUGUUCCUUAUUUUGAGUUUGUCUGAUACUUCCUCAUGAUUAGUUUCAGAGUAUGCAUUCUGGCCAGAAUAGCACAUUAGUGAUGUUGUCCUCAGGGAGUCACACCUAGAAGCAUAUAAUCUGUGUGUCAAAUGCCCCUUAUUUGUGAUGUCAAUUUUGAUCUGCUGGUCAAGGUAUUGUCUGAGUUGUUCAAAUGAUAGUAGUUUUUUUCUCUUAUUCCUAAUAAGCAAUCUAUGGGAAGAUAUCAUAAGGUCAUCCAAAUAUCCUGCUCCUCAUCAAAAAUUUAUCUCUAGAUUUAGCAUCUAUUGAUAAUUUUUGCCCAAAUGAAUCAAUAUUUACUGUGUUGGCAGAAAAAAAAUGAAGAUUUUCCAGUUCAAUUACUCUUUUCACAUUUACAAUUCAGCACUUGGCAUUCUUGCAUAAGCAAGACCUCUUCUUUCUUUACAUAUUUAUCUACAUGUUAUUAGCAUGGACUAAUGAAAUUACUAGGUUUUUUUGUUUGUUUGUUUGUUUUUUCCCAAUGGUUGGUGCUCAAAUUGUCCUAUAUUUGAUGAAUGGGAGCCCCUUCAAGCUGGCUCCUGUGUUCUCGUGUCAUGCCCUAUCAUUUUGAGCAGUUCCUUACUCUUUGACCUAAUAAGUUGCUUCAGGCUCACCUUGUACCUUUUCUGGCCCACCCAUUUCGUCCAAGAGCCUUUGAAGAAAGGCUCUUUACUAGGGAAUGGUGUCAGAAUCCAACAUCUGAGUUCUAAGUCCUAAUAAUGUUUUAAGGAUAGAUUCUUAGGAUUAUAAUUUUUUUUUUUUUUUGGUCACAGUAUAGUUUUGGAGAUUCUUUAUAUGUAUCACCAAACUGCUUCCUGGAAAUGUACUGAUUUAUUCUCCUACCUGCAGUGCAUAAGAACGCACUUCUCUUUCCAUGCUCACUAACAUUACCUUUUUCCUAACUUUUCAGGUAGAAAAGUAUAUAAUAAUUUUUGUUUCCUAGAUGAUGAUGAUGAUUAUUAUUAUUAUUAUUAUUUGAGACAGAGUCUCCCUCUGUCGCCCAGGCUGGAGUGCAGUAGCUCAAUCUCGGCUCACUGCAACUUCCGCCUCCCAGGCUCAAGUGACUUCCCCAGCUGAGCCUCCCAAGCUGGAAACGUAGGUGCCAUAACACCUUGUCUAAUUUUUGUAUUUUUUUGCAGAGACAAAAUUUCGCCAUGUUGCCCAGGCCAGUCUUGAGCUCCUGGACUCAGCUAUCUACCUGCCUUGGCCUCCCGAAUGUUUCCUAGAUUACUAAUAAGGUUUGUUCAUUUAUUACCUGUUUUCAUUAAAUUAUCUGUUCAGGCUGGGCGCAAUGGCUCACGCCUGUAAUGCCAGCACUUUGGGAGGCCAAGGCGGGUGGAUCUCCUGAGGUCGGGAGUUUGAGACCAGCCUGGCCAACAUGGUGAAACCCUGUCUCUAAUAAAAAUACAAAAAUUAGCCAGGCGUGGUAGCCUGCACCUGUAAUCCCAGCUACUCAGGUGGCUGAGACAGGAGAAUCACUUGAACUCGGGAGGUGGAGGUUGCAGUGAGCUGAGAUUACGCCACUGCAACUCCAGCCUGGGCACCACAGAUUGGGACUCAGUCUCAAACAAAAAUAAAUAAAUAAAUAAAUAAGUUAUCUGUUCAUAUUGUGCCUACUUUUAUCAGAGCUUACAGUUUUAUAUCUGUAUGAAGUGUUCUUAUAUUUGGGACAAUGAUUUUGCUAGCUUAUUUACAUUUAAAUUUUCUUUGUACUUUUACUUUACAUUCAAGUAUUUGAUGUUUAUAUUGAGUCAAAUCUGUCCAUCCUUUCCUUUGUGAUUUUUUUCCCAUUGCUGUAAUGCUUAGGGUAUAUUUUUAUAGAGCAAUAAUAAAUAUUUUAGUGUUAAUUAUAUUCUUGCUGCCCAAAUUAAAAAAGACUCUCUUUUUUUGUGGAAAAGAGUGGAGAAGGAAGAGUGUUGAUUCGUUCCAAAGAGAAUUUAAUAGUAGUAACAGUUAUUACUACUGUAACUGUUAAUGAAAAAGAUUGUGUGUGUGUGUGUGUGUGUGUGUGUGUGUGUGUGUGUUUCUUAAGAGUUCUGUUAACAUCAAGACUGUUCCUUGACUUUCUCCUUAGGGUCAGGUAUAGUUAAAAGGUAAAAUAAUAUUAAGCAAAACAUUGUUAUUUUUACAAAAGACUAAAUGGGCUAAAGAUACCCUCUAGUGGAAGGUUAGUAGGUCCUUCUCUACAAUCAAACUGACAGCACAGAAAAUCUAGUAUCCCUCAAUUUUAUAAAAUGCUCUACAUAUUCAAUUGUUAUAUGGGACUUUUGCUUUUUUAUGAAUAAUAGGAUCAAUAACAGAGUUAAGAAAUUAAUUUCCUCAUAGUUCAUAUGUUCUUUUUGAAGGGAUUUUGUUUACUUUGAUUGCUUCCAAGAUGCAUUAUCCUAUAAACAACAACAACCAAAUUAUCAUGGUAACCAAAUUCUAUUUUCUCUGUUCAAAAAAGAUAUUAGUUAUUCAAUCUACUCUUUCUGGUAAGCUUAUACAAGUAAAUAUUGGCAUGUUCAAUAUAUAAUCUGAAUGUGUUAUCAGAAUCUGCUUUAAUGUUACGAAAAAUUGCUUUAAUAUUAUGAAAGAAAAUAUUUUGCAAAGUCAUCAACAUAACUAAUGUCAAAAUAAAUACCUAAAAAAGGA